AGAGUUUGAUCCUGGCUCAGAGUGAACGCUGGCGGCGUGCCUAAUACAUGCAAGUCGAACGAUGAAGCUUCUAGCUUGCUAGAAUGCUGAUUAGUGGCGCACGGGUGAGUAACGCAUAGGUCAUGUGCCUCUUAGUUUGGGAUAGCCAUUGGAAACGAUGAUUAAUACCAGAUACUCCCUACGGGGGAAAGAUUUAUCGCUAAGAGAUCAGCCUAUGUCCUAUCAGCUUGUUGGUAAGGUAAUGGCUUACCAAGGCUAUGACGGGUAUCCGGCCUGAGAGGGUGAACGGACACACUGGAACUGAGACACGGUCCAGACUCCUACGGGAGGCAGCAGUAGGGAAUAUUGCUCAAUGGGGGAAACCCUGAAGCAGCAACGCCGCGUGGAGGAUGAAGGUUUUAGGAUUGUAAACUCCUUUUGUUAGAGAAGAUAAUGACGGUAUCUAACGAAUAAGCACCGGCUAACUCCGUGCCAGCAGCCGCGGUAAUACGGAGGGUGCAAGCGUUACUCGGAAUCACUGGGCGUAAAGAGCGCGUAGGCGGGAUAGUCAGUCAGGUGUGAAAUCCUAUGGCUUAACCAUAGAACUGCAUUUGAAACUACUAUUCUAGAGUGUGGGAGAGGUAGGUGGAAUUCUUGGUGUAGGGGUAAAAUCCGUAGAGAUCAAGAGGAAUACUCAUUGCGAAGGCGACCUGCUGGAACAUUACUGACGCUGAUUGCGCGAAAGCGUGGGGAGCAAACAGGAUUAGAUACCCUGGUAGUCCACGCCCUAAACGAUGGAUGCUAGUUGUUGGAGGGCUUAGUCUCUCCAGUAAUGCAGCUAACGCAUUAAGCAUCCCGCCUGGGGAGUACGGUCGCAAGAUUAAAACUCAAAGGAAUAGACGGGGACCCGCACAAGCGGUGGAGCAUGUGGUUUAAUUCGAAGAUACACGAAGAACCUUACCUAGGCUUGACAUUGAGAGAAUCCGCUAGAAAUAGUGGAGUGUCUAGCUUGCUAGACCUUGAAAACAGGUGCUGCACGGCUGUCGUCAGCUCGUGUCGUGAGAUGUUGGGUUAAGUCCCGCAACGAGCGCAACCCCCUUUCUUAGUUGCUAACAGGUUAUGCUGAGAACUCUAAGGAUACUGCCUCCGUAAGGAGGAGGAAGGUGGGGACGACGUCAAGUCAUCAUGGCCCUUACGCCUAGGGCUACACACGUGCUACAAUGGGGUGCACAAAGAGAAGCAAUACUGCGAAGUGGAGCCAAUCUUCAAAACGCCUCUCAGUUCGGAUUGUAGGCUGCAACUCGCCUGCAUGAAGCUGGAAUCGCUAGUAAUCGCAAAUCAGCCAUGUUGCGGUGAAUACGUUCCCGGGUCUUGUACUCACCGCCCGUCACACCAUGGGAGUUGUGUUUGCCUUAAGUCAGGAUGCUAAACCAGCUACUGCCCACGGCACACACAGCGACUGGGGUGAAGUCGUAACAAGGUAACCGUAGGUGAACCUGCGGUUG
rnacentral:rRNA from 1 species